CAGUCGUACCGGCCGGUAAAUCCAACCCAUCUGGGUGCGAUCCAUGUUGGGGUGCUGAGGGAGCCUAAACCCGCCUUUUUCGCUUCGCGGUGUUUGUGCCUGGUGGGUGAACUUAUUUCGCCAUGGGUAGGUUUAACAUCAAAUUUCGGUUCGUCAUAAAAAUGACGGGGAGGAAUGUAGCUUUGAUCUCGGUAUUAAAAGUGUUAUAGCCCUCUGGUAGAUGUGAUGAUCGGAAUUGAGGAUUGCAACGAAACCCUCUGGGGCCACUCGUCUGGGCCUCUGGUGGUCGCUCUGGUUCCGAAAACUUGCUUACGGUUGUCAGAGUUUGGUUGCCAAAAGGUUAGAACGGGAUAAA
rnacentral:rRNA from 1 species